rnacentral:rRNA from 1 species
CACUGGAACUGAGACACGGUCCAGACUCCUACGGGAGGCAGCAGUGGGGAAUUUUGGACAAUGGGGGCAACCCUGAUCCAGCCAUUCCGCGUGAGUGAAGAAGGCCUUCGGGUUGUAAAGCUCUUUCGCAAGAGAACAAAGCUUGCUAUCUAAUAAAUAGUAAGUAUGACGGUAUCUUGACAAGAAGCACCGGCUAACUAUGUGCCAGCAGCCGCGGUAAUACGGAGGGAGCUAGCGUUGUUCGGAAUUACUGGGCGUAAAGCGCACGUAGGCGGCUUUUCAAGUCAGGGGUGAAAUCCCGGGGCUCAACCCCGGAACUGCCCUUGAAACUGGAUGGCUAGAAUACUGGAGAGGUGAGUGGAAUUCCGAGUGUAGAGGUGAAAUUCCUAGAUAUUCGGAAGAACACCAGUGGCGAAGGCGACUCACUGGACAGUUAUUGACGCUGAGGUGCGAAAGCGGAGUACGGUAGCAAGAUUAAAACUCAAAGGAAUUGAGGGGGGCGUGCACAAGCGUUGGAGCAUGUGGUUUAAUUAGAAGCAACGCGCAGAACCUUACCAGCCUUUGAC